UAAUCGUUGUGUCUACUUUUU
ensembl:piRNA 21ur-9953 ncRNA